GUGGGGAAUAUUGGACAAUGGGCGCAAGCCUGAUCCAGCCAUGCCGCGUGAGUGACGAAGGUCUUCGGAUUGUAAAGCUCUUUUGCCAGGGACGAUAAUGACGGUACCUGGAGAAUAAGCCCCGGCUAACUUCGUGCCAGCAGCCGCGGUAAUACGAAGGGGGCUAGCGUUGUUCGGAAUUACUGGGCGUAAAGCGCACGUAGGCGGAUUUGUUAGUCAGGGGUGAAAUCCCGGGGCUCAACCUCGGAACUGCCUUUGAUACUGCAAGUCUAGAGUCCGGAAGAGGUGAGUGGAAUUCCUAGUGUAGAGGUGAAAUUCGUAGAUAUUAGGAAGAACACCAGUGGCGAAGGCGGCUCACUGGUCCGGUACUGACGCUGAGGUGCGAAAGCGUGGGGAGCAAACAGGAUUAGAAACCCCAGUAGUCC
rnacentral:rRNA from 1 species